GGUUCGAUUAUGGCUCGUGAUUGAACGCCGGCGUGGGGAUGCGCCACACAUGCAAAGUCGAACGGCAGCAUGGACUUCGGUCUGGUGGCGAGUGGCGAACGGGUGAGUAAUGUAUCGGAACGCUCAUAGCGGAUAACUACGCGAAAGCGUAGUUAAUACCGCAUACGCCCUUCGGGGGAGCGGGGAUCUUUCGGCCUGGCAAUUAUUAGAGCGGCCGGAUAACGGAUUAGCUAGCUGGUGGGUACCUGUCUACCAAGGUGACGAUCCGUAGUUGGUUUGAGAGGACGACCAGCCACACUGGAUCGAGAUGGCCCAGAUUCUACGAGGCAGCAGUGAAUUUUGGAUAAUGGGAAAACCGAUCCAGCCAUCCCGCGUGUGCGAUGAGGCUCUCGGGUUGUAAAGCACUUUUACAGGAAAGAAACGGUACGGAUAAUACCCCGUGCAACUGACGGUACCCGCAGAAUAGCGGCACCGAGCACUACGUGCCAGCAGCCGCGGUAAUACGUAGGGUGCAGCGUGUUAAUCGAAAUUACUGGCGGCGUGCGCAGGCGGUUCGAAAGAAAGAUGUGAAAUCCCAGAGCUAACUUUGAACUGCAUUUUAAUCAAUGAGCCAGAGUGUGUCAGAGAGGAGGUGAAUCCGCGUGCAGCAGUGAAAUGCGUAGAUAUGCGAUAACACGAUGGCUAGCGUUCUUCGGGAUACGAUUGAUGCUCGCGUACGAAAGCGGGAUAAAUAGGAUUAGAUACCCUGGCAGUCCAUGCUCUAAAUGAUGUCAAUUUGCGUUGCCAGCCUUUCGCCUGGUAGCAGCACGCGCAAAGUUGAUCGCUCAGAGCAUGGUCGUAAAGAUUAAAACUGUGAAUGACGUAUCCGCACAAGCGGUGGAUGAUGACUUCACCCGAUGCAACGCGGAAAACUUUACUACUUGACAUGUUCGGAAUCCCAGCAGAUCGGAGUGCCUCGCAAGAGAACCGAACAUGAGAAAGCGAUGGUUGCCGUCGCUCGUGUCGAGAUGCUAUGUCUGCAAUGCAAAUUUCGUCAAGGUUGCUAUGGUGGCAAGCGUAAUUUCUACGAGAUCGCCGGCAUUAAAAUUGACAGGCAGUGAUGACGUCAAGUCUCGCGGCUCUAUGGGUAGGGUUUCACACGUCACAUACGGUCGAUGGCAGGUCACACCCGCGAGGGGAGCAUCUUGAAACCCGAUCGUAGGUCCGGAUCGCGGUCUGCAACUCGACUGCGUGAAGUCGGAAUCGCUAGUAAUCGCGGAUCAGCAUGUCGCGGUGAAUACGUUCCCGGUCUUGUACACACUGCCCGUCACACUGGGCGGAGUGGUUUACUGAAGCAGCAGCCCAAUCGCAAGGAGGCGAUUAACACGGCAGAUUCAUGAUCAGCGAAGUCGCAACGGUAAAGUCGGUAUACUUCGAUGCUCUGUAUACAUGUACCUUGAACGA
rnacentral:rRNA from 1 species